GAAGUGACCAGGUCAAAGUGAAUGCUGCUAACUUAUCACUAUAGCGGUUAAAGUCCGUUUACACUUCU
rnacentral:tRNA from 4 species